ACCCUCCAGGUCCCGCAGCCCUCAGAUCUAAAUAUUGGUCUGAGUCAAUAAAGAAGGCAGAAGAGUAAAACUGAACUGGACUUAGACUCUUUUAAUGACGUAUACGUUCAUUUCAAACAAAC
rnacentral:snoRNA from 1 species